rnacentral:rRNA from 1 species
CCCCCAACACUGGGACUGAGAACUGCCCAGACUCCUACGGGAGGCUGCAGUCGAGAAUCUUUCGCAAUGGGCGAAAGCCUGACGAAGCGACGCCGUGUGAGCGAUGAAGGCCUUCGGGUUGUAAAGCUCUUUCGCCUGGGAACAAGAGAGGUUGGCUAAUAUCCAGCCAAUUUGAGGGUACCAGGGAAAGAAGCACCGGCUAACUCCCAU